rnacentral:rRNA from 1 species
CCUACGGGUGGCAGCAGUGAGGAAUAUUUGUCAAUGGCCGUAAGGCUGAACCAGCCAAGUCGCGUGAAGGAAGAAGGAUCUAUGGUUUGUAAACUUCUUUUAUAGGGGAAUAAAGGUAUCCACGUGUGGAUAUUUGCAUGUACCCUAUGAAUAAGCAUCGGCGAACUCCGUGCCAGCAGCCGCGGUAAUACGGAGGAUGCGAGCGUUAUCCGGAUUUAUUGGGUUUAAAGGGUGCGUAGGCUGUUUUGUAAGUCAGCGGUGAAAGUUUGUGGCUCAACCAUAAAAUUGCCGUUGAAACUGGAAGACUUGAGUGUGUUAGGGGUAGGCGGAAUUCGUGGUGUAGCAGUGAAAUGCAUAGAUAUCGCGAAGAACUCUGAUUGCGAAGGCAGCUUACUAGGCCAUAACUGACACUGAGGCACGAAGGCGUGGGGAUCAAACAGGAUUAGAUACCCCAGUAGUC